rnacentral:lncRNA from 1 species
GGUAAUCUUUCCUGGAUGAGCAGUUGGAUUAUUCACCAAUUUUUUUUUGGAGCUGGAGUGAAAAUAAACAUGAGCUUGGAAUGCUGGGUGCCAGCUCAAACCCAGACUUCCCCAGUGUGAGCCCAGAACGGAGAGAUAUAAUUUGGCCCCUUUUGGAUUAUGAUCCUGUGUCAGAGUGACGUUUUGAGUCUGAUUGGCGUGAAGUGUGAUACUCAUGUGAUGAUCUGCUGACAGAAUAAAUAAAUUGUAGAAAGUGCCAAGACUGUUCAGGCAUUUGCUGUAAUAUCACUCCCACAGGAGGAACCUUCAUCACAGUCUUUCUUCAAGUAUGUUCUCUCCUCUGGUAUCAUCAGAAAAGUGGCAAGCAAUGAGCUUGGCAAUGAGGCCCUGCCUGUACCAUGACCAAAAUGUCCCACAAGCCUUUUUAAGUCUGUACUAAAGCACAUGCUCAAGGGAUCAGGGGAAGAAGAGGAUCAACUCUUUUUUUAAUCUGAACUCACAAAAAGAGAAAAAAAAAAAAAAAAAAACAUUUUCUCUCAGGCAUAACCAAGAUGGAAGACAAUGUCUUACUGACAGAGGAACAUAUAUUUAGCACCAUGAUUUAUUGAGAGUGUUUGUGCUUGUUUCCUGAGAAAUACAUAGAGCCUUUUGAUAGCGCUAGAUGAUAGCAAUCUGCUCUGUGGGCAGAUGUGCACAUAAUAGAUG